rnacentral:misc_RNA from 1 species
GGCUGCCUUCAGGAAGAGGGAAGAACCAGACUGCAGGAGGAAAUGGUGAGCUGCAUAAGCACACUCAUGAUAAUGUGUUAGCUGCAACUUCACAAGAGAGAAAUUCUUCUAAAUCUGGCCAUGAGCUUUCAGAGGCAGAAUACCCAUAUCUGGGGAAUGGAAAGCCUGUACCAUCAGAGAUUCGGAUAUCUCAGUCAUCCGUGUGGGGUUCUUUCAAUGCCAAUGGCUUCUCUCGCCUAUCUGAAAGAAUUGAUUCUGGGUCUGAGGGCCUUCAACGGCAUGAAGAGUCCAUGCCAGAAAGGAUCACCCCACUUUAUUCUGGCAUUUCAUGUACAUGGGGCUCUGCUUCAAUCCCAGUAGAAACGGCAGCAGAGGGGUCUGAACCAGUUUUAGAAAAUGAGCAAGAAAGGAUUGCACAGAAUUCAUAUCGUCUGAAGGAUGAAGUUGAUUUUCCUCCUCUUUUCCAAGGGAGAGGAGUGGGGAUGUAGUAGUACCACAGGAAAUGUGCGCAAGUUUUAGAUGCUAACAUCUUCAUAGAUCUAGG